AUACGUAGGGUGCAAGCGUUAAUCGGAAUUACUGGGCGUAAAGCGUGCGCAGGCGGUUUUGUAAGACCGUGGUGAAAUCCCCGGGCUCAACCUGGGAAAUGCCAUUGUGACUGCAAGGCUUGAGUGCGGCAGAGGGGGGUGGAAUUCCGCGUGUAGCCGUGAAAUGCGUAGAUAUGCGGAGGAACACCGAUGGCGAAGGCAAUCCCCUGGGCCUGCACUGACGCUCAUGCACGAAAGCGUGGGGAGCAAACAGGAUUAGAUACCCUGGUAGUCCACGCCCUAAACGAUGUCAACUGGUUGUUGGGGAUUUAUUUUCUCAGUAACGAAGCUAACGCGUGAAGUUGACCGCCUGGGGAGUACGGCCGCAAGGUUAAAACUCAAAGGAAUUGACGGGG
rnacentral:rRNA from 1 species